CCCGGUCCUCGGGGAGUACGCACGCAAGUGUGAAACUCAAAGGAAUUGACGGGGGCCCGCGACAAGCGGUGGAGCAUGUGGUUUAAUUCGAAACAACGCGAAGAACCUUACCAGGUCUUGACAUCCCGAUGCUAUUUCUAGAGAUAGAAAGUUACUUCGGUACAUCGGUGACAGGUGGUGCAUGGUUGUCGUCAGCUCGUGUCGUGAGAGGUUGGGUUAAGUCCCGCAACGAGCGCAACCCCUAUUGUUAACGUUGCCAUCAUUCAUUUGGGCACUCUAGCGAGACUGCCGGUAAUAAACCGGAGGAAGGUGGGGAUGACGUCAAAUCAUCAUGCCCCUUAUGACCUGGGCUACACACGUGCUACAAUGGUUGGUACAACGAGUUGGCGAGUCGGUGACGGCGAGCUAAUCUCUUAAAGCCAAUCUCAGUUCGGAUUGUAGGCUGCAACUCGCCUACAUGAAGUUCGGGAAUCGCUAGUAAUCGCGGAUCAGCACGCCGCGGUGAAUACGUUCCCGGGCCUUGUACAC
rnacentral:rRNA from 1 species